GUGUUGAUACACUAACUACCUGGCUGUAGGUGAUGAUACACUAGGAACCUGGCUGUAGGUGUUGAUACACUAGGAACCUGGCUGUAGGUGUUGAUACACUAGCUACCUGGCUGUAGGUGAUGAUACACUAGGAACCUGGCUGUAGGUGUUGAUACACUAGGAACCUGGCUGUAGGUGUUGAUACACUAGGAACCUGGCUGUAGGUGAUGAUACACUAGGAACCUGGCUGUAGGUGUUGAUACACUAGGAACCUGGCUGUAGGUGUUGAUACACUAGGAACCUGGCUGUAGGUGUUGAUACACUAGCUACCUGGCUGUAGGUGAUGAUACACUAGGAACCUGGCUGUAGGUGUUGAUACACUAGGAACCGGGCUGUAGGUGAUGAUACACUAGGAACCUGGCUGUAGGUGAUGAUACACUAGGAACCUGGCUGUAGGUGUUGAUACACUAGGAACCUGGCUGUAGUUGAUGUGAUACACUAGGAACCUGGCUGUAGGUGUUGAUACACUAGGAACCUGGCUGUAGUUGAUGUGAUACACUAGGAACCUGGCUGUAGGUGAUGAUACACUAGGAACCUGGCUGUAGGUGUUGAUGCAGUAGGAACCUGGCUGUAGGUGAUGAUACACUAGGAACUUGGCUGUAGGUGUUGAUGCAGUAGGAACCUGGCUGUAGUUGAUGUGAUACACUAGAAUCCUGGCUGUGGGUGAAGAUACAUUUCAGUACCAGUCAAAAGUUUGGAUACACCUACUCAUUCAAGGGUUUUCCUUGAUUUUUUUACUAUUUUCUGUAUUGUAGAAUAAUAGUGAAGACAUCAACACUGUGAAAUAACACA
rnacentral:lncRNA from 1 species